rnacentral:rRNA from 1 species
UACGGAGGAUGCGAGCGUUAUCCGGAUUUAUUGGGUUUAAAGGGUGCGUAGGCGGAAUAUCAAGUCAGCGGUAAAAAUUCGGGGCUCAACCCCGUCGUGCCGUUGAAACUGAUGUUCUUGAGUGGGCGAGAAGUAUGCGGAAUGCGUGGUGUAGCGGUGAAAUGCAUAGAUAUCACGCAGAACUCCGAUUGCGAAGGCAGCAUACCGGCGCCCGACUGACGCUGAGGCACGAAAGCGUGGGGAUCGAACAGG